rnacentral:rRNA from 1 species
UGGGGAAUAUUGGACAAUGGGCGAAAGCCUGAUCCAGCAAUGCCGCGUGUGUGAAGAAGGCCUUCGGGUUGUAAAGCACUUUAGGCUGGAAAGAAAAAACUUUCUCUAAUACAGGAAGUCUUGACGGUACCAGCAGAAUAAGCACCGGCUAACUCUGUG